GUUGUAUGGUUAAGUGACUAAGCGUACACGGUGGAUGCCUUGGCAGUCAGAGGCGAUGAAAGACGUAGUAACUUGCGAUAAGCCCAGAUUAGGUAGUAACAACCAUUUGAGUCUGGGAUUUCUGAAUGGGGAAACCCACGUGCAUAAGCACGUAUCCUUACCUGAAUACAUAGGGUAAGGAGGCGAACCGGGGGAACUGAAACAUCUAAGUACCCCGAGGAAAAGAAAUCAACCGAGAUUCCGAAAGUAGCGGCGAGCGAAAUUGGACUAGCCCUUAAGCUUUACACGCGUUAGACGAACGGUCUGGAAAGUCCGACGAUACAGGGUGAUAGUCCCGUAGUUGACGACGUGUGUUCAGUGAAAUCGAGUAGGGCGGGACACGUGAUAUCCUGUCUGAAUAUGGGGGGACCAUCCUCCAAGGCUAAAUACUACUGACUGACCGAUAGUGAACCAGUACCGUGAGGGAAAGGCGAAAAGAACCCCUGUGAGGGGAGUGAAAUAGAACCUGAAACCGUGUACGUACAAGCAGUAGGAGCAGGCUUGUCCUGUGACUGCGUACCUUUUGUAUAAUGGGUCAGCGACUUAUAUUCAGUGGCAAGGUUAACCAUCUAGGGGAGCCGUAGGGAAACCGAGUCUUAACUGGGCGUUCAGUCUCUGGAUAUAGACCCGAAACCAGGUGAUCUAGCCAUGGGCAGGUUGAAGGUUGAGUAACAUCAACUGGAGGACCGAACCGACUAAUGUUGAAAAAUUAGCGGAUGACUUGUGGCUAGGGGUGAAAGGCCAAUCAAACCUGGAGAUAGCUGGUUCUCCCCGAAAGCUAUUUAGGUAGCGCCUCGGACGAAUACUACUGGGGGUAGAGCACUGUUAAGGCUAGGGGUCAUCCCGACUUACCAACCCUUUGCAAACUCCGAAUACCAGUAAGUACUAUCCGGGAGACACACGGCGGGUGCUAACGUCCGUCGUGGAGAGGGAAACAACCCAGACCGCCAGCUAAGGUCCCAAAUUACUACUAAGUGGGAAACGAUGUGGGAAGGCUCAGACAGCCAGGAUGUUGGCUUAGAAGCAGCCAUCAUUUAAAGAAAGCGUAAUAGCUCACUGGUCGAGUCGGCCUGCGCGGAAGAUGUAACGGGGCUAAGUAGUAAACCGAAGCUGCGGCAAUGUGCUUUUGCACAUUGGGUAGGGGAGCGUUCUGUAAGCGGUUGAAGGUGUGUGGUAACGCAUGCUGGACGUAUCAGAAGUGCGAAUGCUGACAUGAGUAACGAUAAAGGGGGUGAAAAACCUCCUCGCCGGAAGACCAAGGGUUCCUGUCCAACGUUAAUCGGGGCAGGGUAAGUCGACCCCUAAGGCGAGGCCGAAAGGCGUAGUCGAUGGGAAACGGGUUAAUAUUCCCGUACUUCUUACAAUUGCGAUGGGGGGACGGAGAAGGCUAGGUGGGCCUGGCGACGGUUGUCCAGGUUCAAGUGCGUAGGCUUAAGAGUUAGGUAAAUCCGGCUCUUUCUAAGGCUGAGACACGACGUCGAGCACCUACGGGUGUGAAGUCAUUGAUGCCAUGCUUCCAGGAAAAGCCUCUAAGCUUCAGAUUGUAAGGAAUCGUACCCCAAACCGACACAGGUGGUCGGGUAGAGAAUACCAAGGCGCUUGAGAGAACUCGGGUGAAGGAACUAGGCAAAAUGGUACCGUAACUUCGGGAGAAGGUACGCUCUCGACGGUGAAGUCCCUCGCGGAUGGAGCUAUUGAGAGUCGCAGAUACCAGGUGGCUGCAACUGUUUAUUAAAAACACAGCACUGUGCAAAAUCGUAAGAUGACGUAUACGGUGUGACGCCUGCCCGGUGCCGGAAGGUUAAUUGAUGGGGUUAGACUUCGGUCGAAGCUCUUGAUCGAAGCCCCGGUAAACGGCGGCCGUAACUAUAACGGUCCUAAGGUAGCGAAAUUCCUUGUCGGGUAAGUUCCGACCUGCACGAAUGGCGUAAUGAUGGCCACGCUGUCUCCACCCGAGACUCAGUGAAAUUGAAAUCGCUGUGAAGAUGCAGUGUACCCGCGGCUAGACGGAAAGACCCCGUGAACCUUUACUACAGCUUGGCACUGAACAUUGACCCUACAUGUGUAGGAUAGGUGGGAGGCUUUGAAGCACGUACGCCAGUAUGUGUGGAGCCGUCCUUGAAAUACCACCCUUGUAGUGUUGAUGUUCUAACGUCGACCCCUAAUCGGGGUUGCGGACAGUGCCUGGUGGGUAGUUUGACUGGGGCGGUCUCCUCCCAAAGAGUAACGGAGGAGCACGAAGGUGGGCUAAUCACGGUUGGACAUCGUGAGGUUAGUGCAAUGGCAUAAGCCCGCUUGACUGCGAGAAUGACAAUUCGAGCAGGUGCGAAAGCAGGUCAUAGUGAUCCGGUGGUUCUGAAUGGAAGGGCCAUCGCUCAACGGAUAAAAGGUACUCCGGGGAUAACAGGCUGAUACCGCCCAAGAGUUCAUAUCGACGGCGGUGUUUGGCACCUCGAUGUCGGCUCAUCACAUCCUGGGGCUGAAGUCGGUCCCAAGGGUAUGGCUGUUCGCCAUUUAAAGUGGUACGCGAGCUGGGUUUAGAACGUCGUGAGACAGUUCGGUCCCUAUCUGCCGUGGGCGUUGGAAGAUUGAAGGGGGCUGCUCCUAGUACGAGAGGACCGGAGUGGACGAACCUCUGGUGUUCGGGUUGUGUCGCCAGACGCAUUGCCCGGUAGCUAAGUUCGGAAUCGAUAACCGCUGAAAGCAUCUAAGCGGGAAGCGAGCCCUGAGAUGAGUCUUCCCUGAUACUUUAAGUAUCCUAAAGGGUUGUCGGAGACUACGACGUUGAUAGGUCAGGUGUGUAAGUGCUGUGAGGCAUUGAGCUAACUGAUACUAAUUGCCCGUGAGGCUUAACCAUACAACACCCAAGGGGUUU
rnacentral:rRNA from 1 species